UGGGGAAUAUUGCACAAUGGGCGCAAGCCUGAUGCAGCCAUGCCGCGUGUGUGAAGAAGGCCUUCGGGUUGUAAAGCACUUUCAGCGAGGAGGAAGGUGGUGAGCUUAAUACGCUCAUCAAUUGACGUUACUCGCAGAAGAAGCACCGGCUAACUCCGUGCCAGCAGCCGCGGUAAUACGGAGGGUGCAAGCGUUAAUCGGAAUUACUGGGCGUAAAGCGCACGCAGGCGGUUUGUUAAGUCAGAUGUGAAAUCCCCGGGCUCAACCUGGGAACUGCAUUUGAAACUGGCAAGCUAGAGUCUCGUAGAGGGGGGUAGAAUUCCAGGUGUAGCGGUGAAAUGCGUAGAGAUCUGGAGGAAUACCGGUGGCGAAGGCGGCCCCCUGGACGAAGACUGACGCUCAGGUGCGAAAGCGUGGGGAGCAAAACAGGAUUAGAUACCCUGGUAGUCCACGCUGUAAAACGAUGUCGAUUUUGGAGGUUGUGCCCUUGAGGCGUGGCUUCCGGAGCUAACGCGUUAAAUCGACCGCCUGGGGAGUACGGCCGCAAGGUUAAAACU
rnacentral:rRNA from 1 species